AUGGAAUCAGAAGGUGUGGCUUAGCUAUUUCUAUGAAAAAGAUAUUUAGCAAUGAUGAUACUAAUAGUAAAAAGAGCAAGAUUUGAUGUUUAAAAAAAGUACUGUUUAUGUAUUAUCUCAUUUGAUUCUCCCAGCAAACUAGUGAGGUAGGGGAUAUUUUUAUACCCAUUUUGUUGAGCAGGAAACAGAAAUAAAAUCAAAGAUUUUAAGCGACUUGCUCAGGGUGAUGCAAUGAGAAUGUGUCUGAGUUGGGGUUUGAAUUCAGAUCUUCCUGACUCCAAGUCCAAGGCUUUUAUCCACCAAGCAAGCUAGCUAGCAGGCUUCAAGUUCGAUGUAAUCAGUGUAAAGUAGCCAACAGAAAACUAAAACAAAACAAAAAACUUCUAUGAUCUUAGGCUACAAUUAGGGAAGUGUGGUGUUCAGGUUAAGGGAUUGAACCCUCUAAAUCUCAAUCAGCUCUAAAUCCAAUGCUAAGACUACCAUAGUAUGCCCCAGGGGAAGUCAUAUUAAAAAUAUUGAUAGAUUCUCUUUUUACAUUACUUUCAUAUGAAUAUAUCCUUUUCCCUGUAACAAAAAAAAAUAAUAAAAAAGAAAAUGGGAAAGGAAGAAAAAAAGGGAUACAGUAGUUCAGUAAAACCAGCUUACCAACUGAAUCUGAUAGAAUGUUCUGCAGCCAUUCAGAAGAGGGGAAUGUUUAUUUCUUUUUCAUAGACAAAUUUGGUCAUCAUGGAAGGGAUGAUGUGUGUUGUGCUUUGUCCAUACCUGAAGAGAAAUUGGAACCUUGUAUCUUAAAGCCAGAAACUAAAAGACCAGUAUCGCUCUUCUCACUUGAACUCUCACCAGUUUUGUCUCUCUUGAAGUCACAGAGGAUUGAGUGAUGCAUUUCUACCAAUGAGGAGGGUCUUAUGCAAAUGAACUUUGAGCCACAGAUUAUAAUUAUAAACACGAUGGUCCGUAUAUUUUGUUAUUGUGAGUUUUGUUUUUUUGCAUUUAUAUUGUUGGGGUCACUGACUUUAUUGUUUUCUUGAUUCUGCUCAUUCCCCUCUGUAUCAAUAAAUCCUUCCACAUUCAUCA
rnacentral:lncRNA from 1 species